rnacentral:rRNA from 1 species
GAAGACUGCGAUAAGCUUCGGGAAGCUGUCAACAAGCUUUGAUCCGGAGAUCUCCGAAUGGGGAAACCCAGCAUGAGUCAUGUCAUGUUGCCACUUGCUGAACACAUAGGCAAGCGAGCGGGAACCAUCUGAACUGAAACAUCUUAGUAGGAUGAGGAAGAGAAAGUAAAUAACGAUUGCGAAAGUAGUGGCGAGCGAAAUCGCAACAGCCCAAACCUUUUAAGUUUUUGCCUAUUAAUUUAGGCAAAUAAGUUGAUAGACGAAUACUUACAAGGGGUUGUGAUAUUACAUAUGACCAAGUCAGAGAAUUUGAUUCAUUCAAAUAAUCUGAUUUGCGAUAACUGGCUAUCAACAGUUAGUAAGGUAAGAAAUCGGCGUGGUUAGUAGAAUAGUUUGAAUGACUAGCCAAAGAACGUGAAAGCCGUGUAUNNNNNNNNNNGGUGAAAAGAACCCCGGGAGGGGAGUGAAAUAGAUCCUGAAAUUUAGUGCCUACAAGGAGUCGGAGCCGGCUUGUCCGGUGACGGCGUGCUUUUUGUAGAACGAUCCAGCGAGUUAAUUUUUACAGCGAGGUUAAGUCAAUUGACGGAGCCACAGUGAAAGCGAGCCUGAAUAGGGCGAUUAAGUUGUAAGGAUUAGACCCGAAACCGGGUGACCUAACCAUGAGCAGGUUGAAGCCACUGUAACAGGUGGUGGAGGACCGAACCAGGAUACGCAGCAAAGUGUUUGGAUGACUUGUGGUUAGCGGUGAAAUGCCAAUCGAACUCGGA